rnacentral:lncRNA from 1 species
UACUAUGCACAGCGUUCGAUAGAAUGGGAUAAUCAUUGUACGCCAUGACGGGGACGAACACAUUCUUGAAUCGAAGUUGAACCCAUGGACAGGCGGAACUCUGUCCAUACAUCUAUGGCAUAAAUUUAAAAAGAAUUGCCGCCUUAUAACCAGUUAGCAUUUUUAUUGGCCUUGUGGUCAAGUGUUCGAUGUUUAUCAGAUCGUAAAGUGUUGCCAACUUGUGUACUUAGAUAAGCGGCGAAUUACCCAAAAAGAAGCUUCCCAGAAGAACUAAGAAAUAAACGAUUGCCAACCGUGCAAAUCGAUGUGGAAAAUAUUCCUCACAUUUGUCUACUUGAAAACGAUAAUAAGGGUUAUCGCUCUGCCAAAUAUUUCCAUAAUCUA